UACGUAGGUGGCAAGCGUUGUCCGGAUUUAUUGGGCUUAAAGGGUGCGUAGGCGGUCUAUUAAGUCAGUGCUGAAAUAUCCCGGCUUAACCGGGAGGGUGGCAUUGAUACUGAUGGACUUGAGUAAAGUUGAGGUAGGCGGAAUUGACGGUGUAGCGGUGAAAUGCUUAGAUAUCGUCAAGAACACCGAUAGUGUAGACAGCUUACUAAGCUUUAACUGACGCUGAGGCACGAAAGUGUGGGGAUCAAACAGG
rnacentral:rRNA from 1 species